rnacentral:rRNA from 1 species
UACAGAGGGUGCGAGCGUUGUCCGGAAUCACUGGGCGUAAAGGGCGCGUAGGUGGUUGGGUAAGCGUGUGGUGAAAGCCCGGGGCUCAACCCCGGGUCGGCCAUGCGAACUGCCCGACUGGAGCACGGUAGAGGCCAAUGGAAUUCCGGGCGUAGCGGUGGAAUGCGUAGAGAUCCGGAAGAACACCGGUGGCGAAGGCGGUUGGCUGGGCCGUGGCUGACACUGAGGCGCGACAGCGUGGGGAGCAAACAGG